rnacentral:tRNA from 2 species
GCCCGGGUGGCGGAAUUGGCAGACGCGGAGGACUCAAAAUCCUCUGGCCGUGAGGUCGUGCGGGUUCAAGUCCCGCCCCGGGCACCA